rnacentral:piRNA from 2 species
UAAGUCAGGCACAGCUAAACAAG